CCAUUCCAUGUGCUUUGUCCUAGCGUGUUCAUUCUUGACUUUCUCCAUUUCAUUUUACUAAAAAGUUAAAUGCUUUAGGAAUUUGUGGCGUGUGGCCACUGACCGCCCCCCACCUCCUGCCGCUCCUCCAAGUUUGAGCUGAGAUGGUUCUAUGAGUCCUUGACAGGGGCCAAAGGGCACACCUCCUUGAACCUAGAAAGCUCCCUACACUCUCAGAGGACGCCUCUCCUGUGGAUUCAGCGCUGGGGCAGUGAAGGUGUCGGGAGCCAGCAGAGCAUGUUCCAGGGUCACCCCCAAGAGGACAACAGGCAUCUGGAAGUGCUCUCUCGCCACUCUGGGUGCUUACUGUCUCUGGCUUGUUUCCAUCACUGGAAAUCACUUAGAGAAUUGUAGUGUUUUUGGUCCUUGAUAAAGCCUAGAAGACAUUUGUGAUGUUACAAAAUGGAAGUUUUCUUUUGUUUCUGUUUUUUAAGAUCUAAGAAGUUGUGAAUGUUGUUAAUCAUUUAGCCGUUGCAAUAAAUGUAGAGGAAAUGCA
rnacentral:sRNA from 1 species